AUUGAACGCUGGCGGCAUGCCUAACACAUGCAAGUCGAACGGGGUAUGGGGCAACCCAUGCCUAGUGGCGGACGGGUGAGGAAUGCAUCGGAAUCUACCCCAUGGUGGGGGAUAACCAAGGGAAACUUUGGCUAAUACCGCAUGAUGUCGAGAGACCAAAGCGGGGGAUCGAAAGACCUCGCGCGAUGGGAUGAGCCGAUGCCCGAUUAGCUAGUUGGUAGGGUAAUGGCCUACCAAGGCUACGAUCGGUAGCUGGUCUGAGAGGAUGAUCAGCCACACUGGGACUGAGACACGGCCCAGACUCCUACGGGAGGCAGCAGUGGGGAAUAUUGGACAAUGGGCGCAAGCCUGAUCCAGCAAUGCCGCGUGUGUGAAGAAGGCCUGCGGGUUGUAAAGCACUUUUUGUUCGGGUAAGAAAUCGCGUAGGUUAAUACCCUGCGUGGAUGACGGUACCGAAAGAAUAAAGCAACCGGCUAAACUUCGUGCCAGCAGCCGCGGUAAUC
rnacentral:rRNA from 1 species